GCUUAGGCAGUCUGUUAUUGGCUGGGCUUAGUUAGUGGUGGGAAGUAGAAGAUACCAGACUUGGGAAAGGAACAGCAACUAACCAAGGAGUAGAAAGAGCCAAGAAAUCCCGGAGUAUUUAUCUCCCCCGCCUUGACUUGGCCAAGAACUUCUCUACACAGUGGACCCCUCUGCCCUGUUAAGUUCCCUUGGCUUUCUAAAAAUCUGCCCUCAUUUUCUUCUCCAGUCUGUAUUGCACUAGCCCAUCCACAAGCCUGGCUCAUCUGUUUUUCCCACUCCUGUGCCCAUCUUGCCAAACGCAGGAUGAAAAUCUCCAGUUGCCAUUAAAGGUGGUCAUAAAUGGGCUGUUGAUGUUGCAAAGCAUUGCAGUUCCUUGGACUUAGUGCCCUUAUUCUCCAGCUGCCGCUGCAGUCCUCAACUCUGUUUUUCAGAGGACAGAGAUGUAGAACAUAAACUUGUUCUUGCUUGUCCAAAUGUGUCGGGUCAUGUCAGGCUUGCUUACCAGUCUCAGGAAGAUGUGCCCCUGCUUCAUGGGGCCUGCUGUUACACACCUGUUCCUCAAUCCAGUCCCUCCAGUCUCAGUGUCAAUUAUCC
rnacentral:lncRNA from 1 species